rnacentral:rRNA from 1 species
GACGAACGCUGGCGGCGUGCUUAACACAUGCAAGUCGAGCGGUAAGGCCCUUUCGGGGUACACGAGCGGCGAACGGGUGAGUAACACGUGGGUGACCUGCCCUUAGCUCUGGGAUAAGCCUGGGAAACUGGGUCUAAUACCGGAUAUGACUCCAUAACGCAUGUUGUGGGGUGGAAAGCCUUGUGCGGCUAGGGAUGGGCCCGCGGCCUAUCAGCUUGUUGGUGGGGUGAUGGCCUACCAAGGCGACGACGGGUAGCCGGCCUGAGAGGGCGACCGGCCACACUGGGACUGAGACACGGCCCAGACUCCUACGGGAGGCAGCAGUGGGGAAUCUUGCGCAAUGGGCGAAAGCCUGACGCAGCGACGCCGCGUGGGGA